AUAGCCAAUUUUAUGUUGAAUUUGUGGAAUUCAACUGUCAAUAAACUAUGAUUCACCAAAAUUUUCCCAUACCGAUUAUAGGUACAUACAUACAUAUUAAAAAAUAACAUUAACCUUACAAUUGUGUUUUUAAAACGAUUCCCUUAAUCAGUAUUGCAAUCCAGCCUUAAGCCAUAAACAUUUGUGUGAAGGUAAUUAAUGAGGCAUAAUUUUUUGGAGGUUUUCUAUGUAUUUCUCAAUAUUUCUCUGAAAUGAGUGAUUAGGCACCAGACUAUUUUUGCAUCUUGUACUCUUACGCAUUUUGGAACGUAUUAGUGAUCGGAUACCAAUAAAGUACAUGGUGAUGUGGUAUCCAUCUAGUACUUUGACUUGUUCACCGGGCUUGUUGAAUCUAUUUGGUUUCUGUUGUGAAUAGUUGUGUCAUCAGUUUGGGUUAUACAUAGAAUUUAGGUCACGACGAGAAACCAAUACAAAAUUCCGUAUCAAAAUGGGUAUUCUUUCUUCGGCCAUCUCAUUGUCCACAGCUAUACUGUGUUUGAGCAAUCACAUCACUUAUGCAAUCGUUCCGGGAGUUAAUUACUUAAUAUCGGGUUUUGUCGGAAAUGUGUAUUAUAUGAGUCAACCCAAUAACGACAACAUUGACAAUGAUGCCAAAUGUUUCGUAUCUCUCGCGAUCGACGUCAAUGCGACGACGGAUAUGUUCAGGAAAUGGGAUGGUAUAUAUCAUCAAUGUUACAACAACGAGGUGUGUAACUUUGCAGACAGAGCAAAAGACAAGAGAACUAAAGUCACCCUCUGGGGAUUGAACAGUGCUCGGCAGAGUGAUGCGAGAUUCAAUAACUAUAUAGCUGGUAUGCAAUACUAUAAUCAAGGGUCUAGGUUUCCAAAACCGAAAGGCACGUAGAGAACUAGUUGUAUGGAGGCGGGAAUUAAUUACAAAAUUCUCAACUCACAAGUCUAAAAUUUCCCCCGUAUCUGCAAAUUUUUCAAGCGUAGUACCUAUUUUUUUUUUUUGGAAAUUUUUCUAUCAAAUUUGUAAUUGAGUGGUGGUGUGUACUACUUUUUUUUGGAAAAGUGUCGAUUUGAGUCGAAAUCAAUUACUCAAGUUUAAAAAAAAAUUCAAACAGCCCUGAUUUCUUAGUAACUUGCUUGGCUUCAACCUUGAUCACCAUCGACGUAUGUAGAUUUUUUUCUCGAAUUCUGUGGUGUUGGCAUCCGCAGAAAGCAAUAAACACCCACCCCCCCCUCAGUAUCUUAAAGUCUUAAGAGUAACAGUGUAUAGCAGUAGGAAUUCUUGUUUUGUAGUACAUAAUUUUUCAACUUGUUUUUUAACGAUGUAUAUUUAGGUUUAAUCAGUGAUGUAUGUAAAUAGAAACAAGAAACCGAAUUAUACAUAAUUGACUAAUC